rnacentral:rRNA from 1 species
UACGGGGGGGGGCAAGCGUUUGUUCGGAAUUACUGGGCGUAAAGGGCUCGUAGGCGGCCAACUAAGUCAGACGUGAAAAUCCCCUCGGCUUAACCGGGGGAACUGCAUCUGAUACUGGAUGGCUUGAGUUCGGGAGAGGGAUGCGGAAUUCCAGGUGUAGCGGUGAAAUGCGUAGAUAUCUGGAGGAACACCGGUGGCGAAGGCGGCAUCCUGGACCGACACUGACGCUGAGGAGCGAAAGCCAGGGGAGCAAACGGG